ACGCUGGCGGCGUGCCUAAUACAUGCAAGUCGAACGCGCAGCGAAAGGUGCUUGCACCCUUCAAGUGAGUGGCGAACGGGUGAGUAACACGUGGACAACCUGCCUCAAGGCUGGGGAUAACAUUUGGAAACAGAUGCUAAUACCGAAUAAAACUUAGUGUCGCAUGACACAAAGUUAAAAGGCGCUUCGGCGUCACCUAGAGAUGGAUCCGCGGUGCAUUAGUUAGUUGGUGGGGUAAAGGCUUACCAAGACAAUGAUGCAUAGCCGAGUUGAGAGACUGAUCGGCCACAUUGGGACUGAGACACGGCCCAAACUCCUACGGGAGGCUGCAGUAGGGAAUCUUCCACAAUGGGCGAAAGCCUGAUGGAGCAACGCCGCGUGUGUGAUGAAGGCUUUCGGGUCGUAAAGCACUGUUGUAUGGGAAGAACAGCUAGAAUAGGAAAUGAUUUUAGUUUGACGGUACCAUACCAGAAAGGGACGGCUAAAUACGUGCCAGCAGCCGCGGUAAUACGUAUGUCCCGAGCGUUAUCCGGAUUUAUUGGGCGUAAAGCGAGCGCAGACGGUUUAUUAAGUCUGAUGUGAAAGCCCGGAGCUCAACUCCGGAAUGGCAUUGGAAACUGGUUAACUUGAGUGCAGUAGAGGUAAGUGGAACUCCAUGUGUAGCGGUGGAAUGCGUAGAUAUAUGGAAGAACACCAGUGGCGAAGGCGGCUUACUGGACUGCAACUGACGUUGAGGCUCGAAAGUGUGGGGUAGCAAAC
rnacentral:rRNA from 1 species